GCAGGAUCCUAAACCAUACCUCAUAAGAACUGUUCUCAGGUGUUCUGACCCCUUGUCCUUCUUGCCAAGCCCUCAUUGGAAAAGAGCCUAUAGGGAGCCAUGGCCUCGGGGGUCAAUGAACCUCGCAAAGUGAAUUCCAAGGCAGGACAAAGUCCAAGGCAGGCCCUCUACGAUGGUUCCCCAGCAGGACACGGAGCGCAAGUUAUGAUGCCCUGGGAUGAUCAGGAGUCCUGAAGUGUGUGAGUUGAGGGGCUGUUUGAAGGAAUAGGAAGCCAACUUCUGAGAUGCUGCCUAGAAACUCAGGCUUAAAUCAGAAAUCUCCAAUGAGCUCCCAGGUACUCCGGUCCUAACUUGGGCGCUGAAACCACAUGGGGUUACAGUGAGAGGAUGAGAUGGCUCAGUGGAUGAGAAAUAGAGAGGCAACCAGAUAAGGCUGUCUGAAGGGGAUGGGGUUGCCGGCAGGCUGGAGAGGUACUCGGUACUCCAUAGAGAGGCUGUGUGUUUCUGACACCUUGUCUUGUGGGGCAGGA
rnacentral:lncRNA from 1 species